rnacentral:lncRNA from 1 species
GCAGACGGUUACCAGCUCGCCCGCGCAUCCCUCUCUCGGCUCCCCUCUCCUCCCCUCUCCUCUCCUCCCCUCCCCUCCUCCGCGGAACUGCUGGCUCCAUAUUAGCGAGGGUGCCCUGGCAGCGCGACCGAGGCCAACUACCCCUGGGGACCCUCCCGAGGCUCCCCGCACCCUGCACACCCUCAAGAUCGCCAAGGCGAGCCCACCGCACCCCACAGCGCGUCCCAAGGGCACCACAGCCGAGGAAGCGACUUUUGCGGUAGCGAAAGGGUGGCAGUACCCAGCUCCACGCGCUGCAAGACUCUAGCAGCCGCGCUUCACCCCAAAACUCUGCCCCUAGCCAGCACAGCUCCCCUAGCGCCCCAAAUCCCAGGUGUGCCUGUUUCCCUGGAGUCCCGCCGGCGUGCUUUGCUAUUCGCAGCUCGACGCCUAGACCUCCUGACUGCAACCUCCGAGGCCUUUGCGCUCCCAGGCGUCCUUUGCUGCAAGCAAACAGGCCCCCAACCGCCCCCUAUGGUUUGUACUCUUCUGGAAGGUGUCUUUGGCGCUGUGAAUGCAAACUCAGGCUUUGGAUUAAGGGCUUCAUUUUCAACUAACUGUGUGAUUUGAGGCCAGUUUCUUAACCUCAGUUUCUUUAUCUACAAAAUGGGAGGGAUAUUCGUAUAAGUGUGGCUACGAGGUUUAAAGAAGAUAUAGUUAUAUGUCAAAUGCUUAGCACAAAGUCCUGGUGGUUAGCAUUAUUAUUACCAUAUGGCCAGAACUGUGAGGACAUUAAAAGUGAAGUAGGCUUUUUCCCACCAGGGGUAAGCCUCGCGGAGUCCUAGGACACAUCCCACAAACCGAGGUGAACCUAAGCCACCGGCUACGUCUGAAGGGAGGACAGACGAGACGAGGGGCAGCCAACUGAGCGAAUCACUCUGCCUUCCGCCUUUGCAAAUGAAUAGGGCUCUGUCUACAGCUUCCGCCAUUCCUACGCCAGAUCUGCAACGCCUAAGGCUUAAACUUGGCGCGGCGGUAAAUUUAGCCCGAAGGCAGCGGCUCCUAAGGGGCGGGGAUGUCUCCUUGGAAGAAGGAAAGGGAACAGGGUAAGAAAAUGGAGUUGCCUCUAGGAAGAAGAAUCAGGCAGAGGAAACAUUCAGGGCCGCUGGCGGACCACUGACAAAAAGAAAUCGGACGCAAAAGAAACCUCCCCAGAAGAAACUGGGCCACCGUGGGAGCCGUGCGAGACAGACUUCCCAUCUGGGAAGGGCUGCCUACGGGGGCUGCAAACCUACGCCGGCUCUGCUGAACUCUUCGAAAUAUAUAUGCAUAAAUUGUUCCUAAUGAGACCAUCUGUUUUUUAUGGCCCCUCUGGAAGCAGGAGGAACCCGAAGCCUGCUCCGUCUUGCAGAAAUCUGUGGCCAGGCAGGCCUGGGAAAUAAAUAGGGGAGAUUAGAACGGUGUGCGUGAUUUAACAAUACGCAGAACGGCAAGUUCGGUGGUCGAGAUGUGUGCCUCGAUUCCCAGGGGUGCGGGUCAUUUAGGGUGACUCCAGACAUGGGGGUUCCUCCUAGGAGGCCCAGGGACUUUGCGGAGUUCCACGGCACACACGAACCUCGUUUUUCCAUAUCUGGAACAUCGCCAGAGCCACAACGCGAAACCACGAGCCUGUAGCUGCUCUGGGGACCCAAAACAAGCACCCAGGUUGUAGGUGGUCCCCGACGUCGCCCACUAUCUAGGGCCUCCUUCUACGGUGGUGAAGGGAGCUGAACCUGGGCCACAGAGGCAGAGAACGAGCAUCACUCCACCCCAUACCCGGGUCAGAGCACAGAGCUCAUUCCGGGCCUAUCCCAAAGACUGAGCUGCUCCGCGAGCGUCUGGCAGGCCCAGCGCCCCGGCCUGAGACCGCACUGAGGGUGGCAGGGCAAACACUUUUCACAUUACCGCGUGGCUGUUAAUUGGGGCAGUGCAAAAGACGCCGCGACUACCCCUUUGCGGCGGCGGGGGAGGGGGGAGCGGGUCAGGAGUGGGCAGUGGGGGCUGCUUAUAAUAGAAGGACUGCCCUGGGGAGCCUCAGAUAUCGGUAACCCCCAUGAUUAAUUCAUAACUCUCCACUGCGCCUGGCACCGUCUCGGGUCUUUAAUCGGUUCUGAAUGUCAGCGAGGCUUCCCCGACAGCCUGAGCACUGCUUUUUCAAUGUGUUGAAAGUCGCUGCGCGCACACCAGGAGACAAAGUUGCCAUCUGCUCCGGGGACCAAGGCAACUGGGCGCUGGGAGGGGCCUUCCUCCCGCGGCUCCCGCUGCCCCGGGCGGCCUCCUCUUCCCGGCCUGCCCCAAAGCCAACACUGUCACCCGGAACGUCCCCGCCCCCCGCCCCGGGUGCAUGCAUGGUGGAAACUCCGGCUUGCAGCGAAACAGAGCGCUGCGCGCGGGCGCGCAGGGAGCCUCGCGGUCACCCAGACCGAGACCUAUGCUAAUGAGAUUAUAGGCCCGGGUUGUUUGUGUGCGCGGACGUCAAAGGGGGGGCGCAGAUAAAGUGUGGAAACCGGGAUGACUUGGAGGGGGGAGGGGCAGGAAGCCCCAGGAGAACAAAGCUCCUGGCCGUCGGCCUCCAAAGAGUCGCAGAAGUGACCGCCACUGGCUCGUGCACAGGCGGAAGCGGGGGAGGGCGGGGGACGCCAGGCCUAAAGCGCCUCGUGGGUUUAGAGAACUCAGAGAGGGCACCGGGUGGGGGUGGGAAGAAGACUCAACCCGUAGCUAAAUGUUUGGCCUUUGGCUAUUUUUUAAGGAAACGAAUCUCAGGGAGGUCGGGGCGCGGGGGAUGGGGGCAUCAUCGCGCCUCGGAGAUGGGAAGCGAGUUCCCCUCCGCUUUCUGGGAAAAGCCUUGUCUCCCUUCUUUCCCCUCCCCCCAUCCUGCUGAGGGUUUGCGUUGACCCAUCUCUCCGCUCGGGACCGGCAGGAGGACGGAGCCGCAGGGGCUGACCGCGGCCCAGAGGCUGCCCAGGGGUCGCGCUGCUGCCGGCCUGCGCUUCCGCACUCCCGGGUUCGGUGCGUCGCCUCUCGCGGCAGCGCCUCGCUUCUUCCAGACUGUAAUUCCACACUCCCGCAAGCGCUGGGGCUGCGGAAUCGUUUGAGGGAGUUGGAACUGCAUCAGAUGAGCACGCCGGGAGGUGAGAUCGGCCCAGCCGCAACCUCCGCCACCCUCUCGAUUCUUCAAGGUUUGCAGCCCAGUCCUGUCAUAUGGUUUUGUUUCUGUGCUGCUGUUUUUUUUCAGACACGAAAAUUGGACACGUGGAGAAUUAGCCCUGCUGGAGAAGCGCUGGGUGCAGACUCAAACAAUGGUUUCCAGCGCCGAAGCUGAGGCAUCACCUUCCCCACCUCCACCCUCAAAUGGCAGCUGCCUCUAUAUACAGCGGGCACACCCCUUCACUACCCACCCCCUCCCCCAAAGCCUGGUUAGGGACCUAUGUGGGCUGCACGCUCUGGAGCCCCUUGCCCGGACACAAACCCUAGGUGGGCCUGGGCUGCCCGCUGAGUAGCUCAUUGCGCCUGGGAUCCCCUGGGAUUUAGAAGUAUAGGGCUCUCUAUUUUUCCCUAGGAAGGUCCUGUCUCAAAGAUGCCACCCCCAAAAAUUAAUGUGUAAAAACCCAACCAAGCUCCAGUCUCUGUGUCCUUUGGCAAAUCUAUCUUUCCUAGGGCAUACUUUCCUAAGCUGCUGGGACCUUGCCCCCCAUCUGAUGAGCCAUACGCAGGUGGUCUGGCCUCUUCAGAGCAGCUUCCUUUAGUUAUUGUCUUCUCCAGAGGCCCCAUCCUCCACGGCAGCCCUAAUCUUAGCCCCCCAGCCUCUCUGAGCCCCCAUCCCACCCCCACACUGCGCUGAGCUGGCAGCAGCCACAGCUCCCCCAGGCAGUUCCUCUCUCACUGCGCGGCCUGUGCAUCUCGCUGGGGCACACACUCCGCACAGAAGCUCCCUCGCCUCCUGGAGCUGGUUUCCUCUUACAGGCUCCCCUUAGAGCUGCUGGUGCUGUGACAACGCCUGCAUCUCUGUGUCUCCCUGCAGCGCUGCGAGCUGUGAAUCUGCCUUCUCUUCCCUUCCUGCAAAGGUCAAGCUGCCUCCUUCUCUCGCAGGGCCGCAGUUCAGUUCUGGCCUGCAGAGCUUCUACACUGCAACUUGAAUAUGGGAAUGGGGUGGGCAUCGUGCAAGGGAGCAGUCACACUCAAGCCAGGAGGCAGGGACAAAAGGGUGUGCGAUUCAGGGAGGGAAACACUGAGGACAACCCUCAGAAAGCAGUGCAGGAUUUGCAGCUAAAGACUCAAAAGAGGGAGAGAAAACGAGGAAAAGGCUGUUACUAGGUCGUGAGUCCUGAAGUGUAGGCCUUUCUCCUCCCACCCCGUGGGUUGCCCUAGGGGAAGGCCAGAAGAGGCCUCAGGUGUCUGCACUGUGUCCUGUGCAGUUCCUAGGGCCAUGCACUUCCGGUGAGGCUGCACUUUACUCCAAGCAGGAGUCAGAAGCAUGGAAUUCAGUGGCCGCAGGAGCUCAAGUCGGCUGCAGCCCUUUCAAAGAGGGACCCCGAAGAGGCCUUUCUGCCACCCCAGCCCCAGAGAGGCUAUGAGGCUCUACAAGCAGCAGAGAGAAUGAUACGGAGAAAAAUGAGAGGAAACGCUAUUAAACUUGCUUCCUCUAAAGAGCGCUACCCACCGUUUUCUCUGAACUGUACCUAAAAAGUCAGGAGAGAACUCGUUAACUUUUGUUUGGUUUAACAUUGCCAGCUUCAAGUCAACCGUAGGCCCCCCGAAGGUUUUGUAAAAUAUUUAAUCUAGCUCAGACAAUUUCCUGCAGUCCCUAACCAGACCACCCCACUUACUGAGCCGCUGCCAAAAAGGAUGCUUGACUGCAGACUGGCAACCAGAGGCCUUCCAGUCGCCUGGCUGGCCUUGACCUCCACUCGAGGCGCCAGGAAAGACCCUUCCCGGAAUCCCGAGAGACCAAGACCUGGGUAAUCCUGGAGGUCUAAACCCGUGAGGAAGCCCAAGAAAUGGAGUUAAAGACCCUUUUCGCACAACCGAUUGUUGUCUGUGUGACCUUCUGCGGCCCUUGCCCUCUCUGAACCCUCUAAAAUGGGCAUGAGGAUGUCUCACCUUCCUCUGGGUGUUAUGCAUUUUGAAGCGUGGGCACUAUGGGAGAGGCUGACGCUCUGUGUUCCCCAGCGCCCUCCACUCCCACCCCUUCACUGUUUUCUUCGACAUUAUCUCCCUAGAGAACACAGCAAGCAGGAGCGGGAUCCUUCGACUCGGCUGACUCUCAACUCCUUCCAAACGUGAGGCUGACGGGGAGAACUCCUGCUCUGCCCAGUUUCCAUUCCCGCCUCCAGAAUAACGAGCCGAAAACAUGUGUACUGUAAAUAAAGCCUGUCUAAAUAAAGCACUCGGGUAAAGGCUACCGAGAAAACACUCCGCAUCGCUCUGUGCUCAGAGCGUGAGUCAGCUUCCCAGCCCCGGGGGAACAAUGGGGACCUUGCCAAGGGUCCCCUUCUGUCGACCCCUGACGGCCCCCAGGCCCGUUUGGGUGGCGGGAGUGCCGGCACCCUGGGACCUUCGGGCCCGAGGUUCGGGAGGGCUAAGGGCGCUCCAGGCGACCAGGGUUGGGGUCCAGCCCCAGGAUUAGCGCGGCCAGGAAUCCCUCU